rnacentral:lncRNA from 1 species
GUGGCAAAGAGUCAAACACUACUGAGAGACUUUCGCUACUGAGAAGCAUCUGCUCACUGCCCCAUCCUUUCAGUCCAAAGCUCCCCACUUCUUCUGUACCCGCCUACAUGGGCAACCGGCUGCCCAGUGGGGAGGGAAGGGGUGAUCAGAGUCCCAGCAACCCUGCGUCAUCCCCCUGACUAUGAUGAAACACAGGCCCUCCCUGGGGCACCAGGACCUCAGUCCUUGCUCCCUUCCUCACCCCCAACAACUGCCCAGGAAGAAGGUGAAAACCUGCAAGGGACGAGGAGAAACGGCAGGAUUGGAAGGGGAGAGCCCGGUGAUGGUUCUGGAAACCAGCAUUGCUUCAGGGCUGGUGCAACUAGAACUGCCUCCUCGAAGAGGAAGCAGAGGGAGGAGAGGCUAGGGAACUGCUUGGGGUACUGCAGAACCCACCUCUCCAGGCUUCCUGCCCAGUUCCCUCUCCUCUGCAUACAGUGGAGUUGGUCUGGUCCCAGGAAGCCCUUUGGAGCCACUGAGAGUUUAGAGUGAGGGCAGGGCAAGGCAUGGGCUGCUUCUGAAAGCUUAUCCCACAACUUCCACUGGCGGUAGUCAUCCCAGCAAAGCACUGGCUCACAGUCCUCUCAGCCAAAGUCCAUGUGUAGAGUUUCCAGUUCCCAGAAGUUUCCAAAGCAGAGGAUGUAAUUACAAUGUUUUAAAGCAAAUAAACACACACCCGAGUGGGAGGACUGCAUAUUUAUUUGACUAAUUAGAGGGAAAUCACUAAAAGGAUGUACAAUAACAUCGGCUUCUUUGGG